GCCCCGGUAGCUCAGUCGGUCAGAGCGACUGCCUUGUAAGCAGUAGGUCGCGGGUUCAAAUCCCGCCCGGGGCU
rnacentral:tRNA from 2 species